CUAGGCAGCGUGCCUUGUCAAUGGUAAACCCCUAGCUGCUUUCAGCUCAUUACUUCAUAGUGAAGGUCUUACCAGCUGAGGGCUUACUGUUGUCAAGACACGUUGUCUAG